rnacentral:ncRNA from 2 species
CGAUAACACGAGGGGUGCCUUUUUGGCUGAGAUGAAAAUUAUUUCAGACCCUUUGAACCUGUAAGUUAACACUUGCGUAGGAACGUGUCGAACCUGUUAG